UACCUACUCCCUCUGUUCGGAAUUACUUGUCGUUGAAAUGGAUGUAUCUAGAUGUAUUUUAGUUCUAGAUACAUCCAUUUCCGAGACAAGUAAUUCCGAACAAAGGGAGUAGAAA
rfam:Triticum urartu cultivar G1812 contig147192, whole genome shotgun sequence.